rnacentral:antisense_RNA from 1 species
GUCUCUCAUUGUGAGGUAUCACCUGGAGUUCUUUGUCUCAUGACCAAGAAAAUUAAGGAGCGUGGAUGCAAAGGAUGAAGUUGCAGCGAAAGUUUAAUAAGCAAAAGAAGAAAGCUCUCCACAGUGGAGAGGGGACCUGGAGGAGGGUUGCUGCUUUUACAGGGGGUGACCUUUAUCUUCAUGGCCCAGUGUGACUGCAAGAGCUCUAGCAUCCAAGUUCCCAGCAGAAGGAUGGAGGACUGACUGGAAAAACAAGGAGACACAGGGUAUGCAUCGGAGUCCCCUCUUGUUGCCCAGGCUGGAGUGCAGCAGCAUGAUUACAGCUCACAUCAGCCUCGACCUCCCGGGCUCAAGCUAUCCUCCUACCUCAGCCUCCCAAGUAGCUGGGACUAUAGGAUCUUUCUGCUGAUGCAGCUGUUAAGAGUGUUUCAUAAACUGUGACAACACUGAGCAAAAUCAUAGAAGGAAACUCUAUGGACAAUUUCAGAUGGAGAAGAAGAAAGGACUGGAAGUUCAAUUUGGCCAUGACAAUUAGACUUGAAGAAGCUGAGUGAGAAGGCCAUGCAGAUAUCUUGGAGAAGUGCAUUCCAGGCAGAGGAAAAGCCAGUGCAGAGACACUGAAGCAGGGCAUGACUGAUGUGUAUAAGGAGCAUCAUAUACAUGAUCAUCUACAGUCCACUGAGAAUAGCAGACGAA